AGAGAGUUCAAGAGUACGUGAAACCGUUCAGGGGUAAACGGGAGAAAUCCUGAAUUCGAAAGGGAUUGGAUUCAACUGGGUCCGGCAUGUUCAGGCCCCUCCUUGCCAGAUGGCGCCGGUCGCCCGCGGCGAUUCACUUCGCUUGCGGUGUCGUUCCCGGCGUUCACUCGGCUCGGGGGCGGUACACUCUGGAGCUCGGAGCAGUGCACUUCCUCCCUAGUAGAAACGUCGCGACCCGUUGGGUGCCGGUCUAAGGCCCGGGCAGGCAGCCCGUGCGUCCCGCGGCGGUGCAAACCGUCGCGGUCGCGCGGACGUCCGGUGACCCGGCCGGCCGCCCGACGGUAGGACCAGAGGAGUCGAUCCGCUGAAUGAGAAGCACUUGGGUUUGUGCAGCGUCCGGCCCCGCGCCGACGCGUGCGGGGAAGUGCCUACUUGUAGGUGCGGGUGUCUGUGCGGCGUCACGGCCCCGGCCCCGUCUCGCUGUCGGUCGUCGGGUGUCCUCGGACUGGAUCAGAACUCCCGUCCGCGACGCCCAUCUUCGGAUGGUCUCC
rnacentral:rRNA from 1 species